AAUGCGAAGUUUUUGUAUAAUUUGCAUUUGAGGUGAUGCAUCUCGCUGCGGAGUGUAAGCCUUUGAGCUCCCUCGCCUAACUCUGCUAUGCUUGUAUAAUGGGAAAAGUAACAAUUUCUGAUUGUUAUUCCUCCUAGAGGCUACGAUACCUGCUGUAUUUGGGGGGUGGGGGGAAUGUGGAAGAGACUCUGCCAGUUCAAAAGUCUAGAAAGAAAAAUGUAACUUUACAGCAGUAGAAGUUAUGCAAAUAAAAGUAUGAAAAAAAUCAACCUAGGUUCAUUUCUAAAGGGUUGUAAAAUCCUUCAUUUAAAGCUUAGUGUAAUCUGUGACAUUUAUGUGGGCACCUGGAAAAAAAAAAAAACCUAAAGCAGAGCUGUGGUAUGAAGUAGAGUGCUGCUGUGAGCAGCCACAUUUCUGUCUGCUUCUCAUUUAAAGUGCUAGCUCCCUUUUUGUAUACCUAAUAAAUGAUACGUAUAGAAUAUACAGCUGUGUCACAAAGUCAUUCUGCAUUCAUAAAGCUUAAUAUAAUCAAAUUCAUUGCCUAAAGACGGUGUGGUUGAAGAUUUGAUCCUUUUUCACUGAAGUGGAAAUACUUUCAGUAAUUGAAAGCAGAUUCACGUCUGGAGUUGUACAAGCCAAGGUUUUCAUUUUUAAAAUAAUCCUUUUGUUCCCCAGCUUUAAAUGUUUCAGUGAGCCAUCCAGAGACCUCUGUUUGCUAAUUGCUAGAGUAGACUUUAAGGAAGGGUUGAGGGGACAAAAACAAAAACUGAGAAAGAUUUGGGCUCAAAAGUGUCAAGCAGCUCAGUAACUACAAAUGACAUGUUACAAAAUUUCUUGAUUCGUGCUCUGCAACUCUAUAUGGAGAAUGGCUUCAUAUGUUUCACAGUAUAGUUUGUGUUUGUUUGCUUUUUUUUCUUUCAAGCUGUUAUAAAAAGACUAUGUUACAAUUUAGCAACAAACUUACAACAGCAGAACCCUUACAAAAACUUAAUGGUUAGGUGGUUUUGGCUUAUUUGUCAUUUUUAAUUUCUAAUCUUUUAGCAAUAGAAUUGAGAACACGUCAGGUAGUACAUUUCAUGCAGUAUGGGAUACUUUUUUUCUUUACCUUUUGAAGAAAAGCAGCUGAUGUGGUAGCUGUCUAAAAAAAUUAUAAUUGAUGCUAUAGCAUAAUGUGAAAUGUCAUGUACAGGUUCAUUUUAAAAGUCCACAAUAAGAAUGCUGCUAACACCCAUCAGUGUAUCAUGUAAACCAACCCAACUUAAAGAAUUUGUCUUGAGCUGUAUUCUUGCAUUUCUAAUGUGUGUUUAUGAAGAUUUAAUGUGAUACAUCAAGAUACUGAAGUGAUCUGAUAAGCCAUUAUGAGAUCAGACUUUACAGCUUUUCUUUCUGUAACUUGUUUUGUAUCCCAAUUCACUUGUUGAACUAAACAAGGAAAAAUAAAAGUUCACAAUACAUAUACUUCGUACAAUGUAGGCAUUCGAGCAGUGGUAUCAGAAAAUAAUCAGUGCUGUAUUGUUUUCCAAAUGAGAAGAGACUUUAGCUUUCCUGUCUUUUCUAUAUGUCUACAAAGAUUUUAUUGCUGGUUAUUUCAUUCUAAAUACAGCUAUAGGCUUCAUUCUGUGUGGGUCUGAAAGACUUUCUCAAGAGAUUUAUGCAUUUCAGAAUAGCAAGAGAGCUUCUAUAUGCUCAGUGAUGUAUAGAGAGAUGAUGUUGUGUGCUGGUGACCUCAGUAAUAGUUUGAAGAUAUAUACAUCUUUUAUGUUUGAACAUUUGAAGAUUUUAAACAAAAUAAGGAAUUGUGAUAAAAUAAAGCAACUGUAAAACUAAAAUGCUUCUGUAAUUUUCUAACUAAAGUAAGUUGAUGUUUUUAAAUGUUAGGGACAAAUGACAGAAAUGGCACUUGUAUUCCUUCAAAAAGCUUCACCCAUGAUAAACUCUGAUCAGAACAGGUAGGUAGCUGGAAUAUUCUGAAGGGAGUGGAAAAUAAUCAUUCACCUUCUUUGCCUAUGAUUGAAAUGAUUUGAAGUGCAAUUAUACAGGAAAACUUCAAAAUUCACUGAGGGGGUGACAACAAGUUGCAUAGCCUUCUUUUGGGACUGGCUAGGGCCACCAUUUAUCCAAACUUGAAAUGGAAAUAAUUGUUUUGUGUAAACCACCAAGUAGAUGGUUUAUGAAGCAAAUGUAAGAAAGUGAUAGAGCUCUCAUAUCUGGAGACAGUAUGUCAUUCAAGUGGGAUCUACACAGGUUAUGAUUUUGAGACCUACCUUAGAGUGAAAGGCUUGUUUAUGACUUGUUACAUACAGCAGAAAGAGUUUUGCAUAGCAAUAGCGUAUGAAUCAUUGCAGAUUUCAGGCAUUUGAUGAGGUAAUCAGUGAUGAUAGAAGCACUGAUUUUUUUUAUUGGGUAGUAGAAGGUAUCUUUACAAGAGGUCUGAAUUCUGAUCUAUUCAGAAUUCUGAUAUAUUCAGAAUUCAGGAGUCGAGUCUAGAUUAAAGAGUGUUCCAGCAAAAGAUUUAACCAAGUAGCUGAACACUGAGAUUUGGACAAACUGCCUCUACAACUUGGAGUAAUGGUGGACUGACAAAAUGGAAAAGGCAGAUAUUGUUGUAAUUUCUGAAGUUCUGCAUUAUGGUAAAACUCUGAUUAAACAUGUCUAACAGGUUUUCUGCUUACUGUAUUUUCUGUGGCAAAGGAACAGCAAUUUCUGCAGUAGCAGUAAGCUCACGUAUCUGUAGUAUCACGUCAGCAGUGAGUUACGUGUUUUUAUCUUUCCGAUACAACUUGCUGUUCUGCCUCAUUCUGUCUCUUGUAGAGGAUUCAGACCUAUACAACAGUAUUUCUAAGAUGCGUAAAAGAAAAACAGAUUUAGAAGAAAAAAAAUAAUCUAAAAUAAGAUCUCUUGCAUGCAACUACAAAAAGGACAGACAAGUGCUUUGCCUGCUUUUAAUUUUUUUUUAAUCCUGUUUCAGUUGUUACUAGUCCAAGUGAUAUUGAUGUGAGGAGUUUUAUUUUUCUUUAUAUGAAGAAGAGUUAUUGUCCUGGAGAAUGCUUCGAGAUGCAA